AGUGAACGCUGGCGGUAGGCCUAACACAUGCAAGUUGAACGGCAGCACAGUAAGAGCUUGCUCUUACGGGUGGCGAGUGGCGGACGGGUGAGGAAUACAUCGGAAUCUACUUUUUCGUGGGGGAUAACGUAGGGAAACUUACGCUAAUACCGCAUACGACCUACGGGUGAAAGCAGGGGAUCUUCGGACCUUGCGCGAUUGAAUGAGCCGAUGUCGGAUUAGCUAGUUGGCGGGGUAAAGGCCCACCAAGGCGACGAUCCGUAGCUGGUCUGAGAGGAUGAUCAGCCACACUGGAACUGAGACACGGUCCAGACUCCUACGGGAGGCAGCAGUGGGGAAUAUUGGACAAUGGGCGCAAGCCUGAUCCAGCCAUACCGCGUGGGUGAAGAAGGCCUUCGGGUUGUAAAGCCCUUUUGUUGGGAAAGAAAAGCAGCAGGUUAAUACCCCGCCGUUCUGACGGUACCCAAAGAAUAAGCACCGGCUAACUUCGUG
rnacentral:rRNA from 1 species